rnacentral:tRNA from 1 species
GGAGGAGUGUCCGAGCGGUUGAAGGAGGCGGUCUUGAAAACCGUUGAGCCUUUACGGGCUCCGUGGGUUCGAAUCCUACCUCCUCCGCCA